UUCAGAACCUUGAACCUUGGGUUCAUAAUCUCACAACAAAGAAGGGUCCCUCCAUGUUCUUGGAGCUGUACACCCAUUGGAACUCUUAAGACAUAUGGCCCUAAAGCACCUCAGAAGAAGCUGAAGGAAAUCAGCCUCCAUAGCUUUCAAGCCCCUGGACUCCUGGAGCCAGAAGUUAAUUCACACUCUGAUCUCAGAGAAGUUCAAGACCUUCAGCAGAACUUUUCCUGGCCAGGGCAUUUUUGCCCCUGAGAUAUGUCAUUAAACACUGUAACCAGGAACUUCUGUUCUUACCCCUGUCCUUCCCUUCACCUUUUAUAGUUACUAAAUGCAAUGUUUUAUUUUUCCAAGUACAAAACAAUAAAAUAGUUAUAAAGAAA